rnacentral:rRNA from 1 species
UAAGGAAUAUUGGUCAAUGGACGCAAGUCUGAACCAGCCAUGCCGCGUGAAGGAUGAAGGUCCUCUGGAUUGUAAACUUCUUUUAUCUGGGACGAAAACGGGAUUUUUAUCUCAAUUGACGGUACCAGAGGAAUAAGCACCGGCUAACUCCGUGCCAGCAGCCGCGGUAAUACGGAGGGUGCGAGCGUUAUCCGGAUUUACUGGGUUUAAAGGGUGCGUAGGUGGGCUUAUAAGUCAGUGGUGAAAUCUCCGAGCUUAACUUGGAAACUGCCGUUGAUACUAUAGGUCUUGAAUUAUCUGGAGGUAAGCGGAAUAUGUCAUGUAGCGGCGAAAUGCUUAGAUAUGACAUAGAACACCAAUUGCGAAGGCAGCUUACUACAUAUAAAUUGACGCUGAGGCACGAAAGCGUGGGGAUCAAACA